AUACAGAGCCAAAUAUCCUAAAGGCACCAGAUCCCUUCUGGUCUUGGAAGCUAAGUAGAGACAGUUCUGGUUAAUAUUUGGAUGGGAGACAGCCAAUGCAAACCAAGUGCUGUGCACU
rnacentral:rRNA from 11 species